rnacentral:rRNA from 1 species
AGAGUUUGAUCCUGGCUCAGGACGAACGCUGGCGGCGUGCCUAACACAUGCAAGUCGAGCGAGGAACUUCGGUUCCUAGCGGCGGACGGGUGAGUAACACGUGGGUAACCUGCCUUAUAGAGGGGGAUAGCCUUCCGAAAGGAAGAUUAAUACCGCAUAAAGUCUGAUUUUCGCAUGGGAAUUGGACCAAAGGAGCAAUCCGCUAUAAGAUGGACCCGCGGCGCAUUAGCUAGUUGGUGAGGUAACGGCUCACCAAGGCGACGAUGCGUAGCCGACCUGAGAGGGUGAUCGGCCACAUUGGAACUGAGAUACGGUCCAGACUCCUACGGGAGGCAGCAGUGGGGAAUAUUGCACAAUGGGCGAAAGCCUGAUGCAGCAACGCCGCGUGAGUGAUGAAGGCCUUCGGGUUGUAAAGCUCUGUCUUUUGGGACGAUAAUGACGGUACCAAAGGAGGAAGCCACGGCUAACUACGUGCCAGCAGCCGCGGUAAUACGUAGGUGGCAAGCGUUGUCCGGAUUUACUGGGCGUAAAGAAUGCGUAGGCGGAUAUUUAAGUGGGAUGUGAAAUACCCGGGCUCAACUUGGGUGCUGCAUUCCAAACUGGAUAUCUAGAGUGCGGGAGAGGAGAGUGGAAUUCCUAGUGUAGCGGUGAAAUGCGUAGAGAUUAGGAAGAACACCAGUGGCGAAGGCGACUCUCUGGACCGUAACUGACGCUGAGGCAUGAAAGCGUGGGGAGCAAACAGGAUUAGAUACCCUGGUAGUCCACGCCGUAAACGAUGGGUACUAGGUGUAGGAGGUAUCGACUCCUUCUGUGCCGCAGUUAACACAAUAAGUACCCCGCCUGGGGAGUACGGUCGCAAGAUUAAAAACUCAAAUGAAUUGACGG